GCACCCGUAGCUCAACUGGAUAGAGCGCCUGGCUUCGGACCAGGAGGUUGUGGGUUCGACCCCUGCCGGGUGCA
rnacentral:tRNA from 1 species